GACGAACGCUGGCGGCGUGCUUAACACAUGCAAGUCGAACGGAAAGGCCCUGCUUUUGUGGGGUGCUCGAGUGGCGAACGGGUGAGUAACACGUGAGUAACCUGCCCUUGACUUUGGGAUAACUUCAGGAAACUGGGGCUAAUACCGGAUAGGAGCUCCUGCUGCAUGGUGGGGGUUGGAAAGUUUCGGCGGUUGGGGAUGGACUCGCGGCUUAUCAGCUUGUUGGUGGGGUAGUGGCUUACCAAGGCUUUGACGGGUAGCCGGCCUGAGAGGGUGACCGGCCACAUUGGGACUGAGAUACGGCCCAGAAUCCGACGGGAGGCAGCAGUGGGGAAUAUUGCACAAUGGGCGGAAGCCUGAUGCAGCAACGCCGCGUGCGGGAUGACGGCCUUCGGGUUGUAAACCGCUUUCGCCUGUGACGAAGCGUGAGUGACGGUAAUGGGUAAAGAAGCACCGGCUAACUACGUG
rnacentral:rRNA from 1 species